AUCUCGGCUCUCGCAUCGAUGAAGAACGUAGCGAAAUGCGAUACUUGGUGUGAAUUGCAGAAUCCCGUGAACCAUCGAGUCUUUGAACGCAAGUUGCGCCCGAAGCCAUUAGGCCGAGGGCACGUCUGCCUGGGCGUCACGCAUCGCGUCGCCCCCGCACG
rnacentral:rRNA from 1 species